rnacentral:rRNA from 1 species
UACGUAGGGGGCAAGCGUUGUCCGGAAUCAUUGGGCGUAAAGCGCGUGUAGGCGGCCCGGUAAGUCCGCUGUGAAAGUCGGGGGCUCAACCCUCGAAUGCCGGUGGAUACUGUCGGGCUAGAGUGCGGAAGAGGCGAGUGGAAUUCCUGGUGUAGCGGUGAAAUGCGCAGAUAUCAGGAGAAACACCAAUUGCGAAGGCAGCUCGCUGGGACGUGACUGACGCUGAGACGCGAAAGCGUGGGGAGCAAACAGG